rnacentral:tRNA from 1 species
GUGGCCGAUUGGUUACGCUGUCCGCUUUGUAAGCGGAUGAUUGUGGGUUCGAUUCCCAUC